rfam:Branchiostoma floridae genomic scaffold BRAFLscaffold_316, whole genome shotgun sequence.
ACCCCGGCCCUUUUCAGGGCCAACCACAUCCUCACAAAAGAGCUAU